rnacentral:rRNA from 1 species
CUAGUCCUGCAGGUWWAGACGACGAAUUCGCCCUUCUUGGUCAUUUAGAGAAGUAAAAGUCGUAAACAAGGUUUCCGUAGGUGAACCUGCGGAAGGAUAUUAUUGAAUACGAAUCGGUUCUGAUGCUGGCCCUUCACCGGGCACGUGUCGCUCCGAAUCUAUUUAUCUUCUCUUGUGCACCUCUUGUAGUCUUUGAAAAGUGAACCUCUCGCAGCAAUGCGGUCUGGGGGACUGGGUCAAACCUUCCCUGCUUGCUUUCUUCUUGGCUAUGUUUUCAUAUACACUAUAAAGUUAAGAAUGUCUUUUAACGAUUGUCGCUCGCGCGCAGUCAUUAAACCUAUACACUUUCAGCAACGGAUCUCUUGGCUCUCCCAUCGAUGAAGAACGCAGCGAAUGCGAUAAGUAAUGUGAAUUGCAGAAUUCAGUGAAUCAUCGAAUCUUGAACGCACCUUGCGCCCUUUGGUAUUCCGAAGGGCAUGCCUGUUUGAGUUCAUUAAAUUCUCAACCUUGCUCGCCUUUACCGGCUUGAGUGAGGCUUGACGUGAGGGCUUUGCUGGCUUCCUUAAGUGGAUGGUCUGCUCCCUUUAAUGCAUUAGUGGGAUCUCUUGUGAACCGUCACUUGGUGUGAUAAUUAUCUCGCCUCGUCGACUUUGAAGCAAACUUAUGGGAACCUGCUUAUAACCGUCCGCAAGAGACAACUUUCUGACAUUUUGACCUCAAAUCAGGUAGGACUACCGCUGAACUUAAGCAUAUCAAUAAGCGGAGGAA